CCUCCACCAGCGGGCAUUUUUGCGCUCACGCGCGACUGCUCCAGGCUGUCAUUGCUCUCCUGACCGUCUACGAGAAGACUGGGAAACUUGAGAGAGCUUGGCGAACUCCUUGAGGACAUGGGCUUUGUUUUCUGUUCCAUUUUACCCUCCACUGUGCCUUCGCAGUCCUGGAAGAGUCCUCCCUUCCACCCCGGAUAUCACUGUGAACCCAUGAAACUAAAGGGAUUUGUGCUUGCUGAGUAAGAGCUUCUACAAGGAUUCCCCAGGAUCAACCAUCUGAGCAGAUACCUUGGAAUGUCCCCAGAUUUCAGACAGUCUGUCAACUUGGGCGUGCAAACAACCAUCCUAAGAGCCUUUCUUGCUCUGAUAGGGAGAAAAAAAGGCUUCGGGGGCUACCAGAGGAGAAGAGGCCAUCUCACUAAUGAAGGCUGAAAAAAACCACAGCUGAAAGCCUCGGACCAGCAGCAACACACUCUGAAGUAGGUCUCAGAAGACAAAAAGCUGAAAUCAACUCAUGCUUCCUGCUACACAGAAUCCACUGAGAGGAAAAGGAAACUUCACCGAAACUUCAGAAAGCUACAGAAAUGACAUCCAUUUUCACAAUCCCAGAAGGAAAGAUGCAUCUGAAGGGAAUAAAAACAGAGCAAUGGAAGAGUAUUUGUUAAAAUAAAUGGCUUUGACAGGGC
rnacentral:lncRNA from 1 species